AGCGAACGCUGGCGGCAGGCUUAACACAUGCAAGUCGAACGGGCACUUCGGUGCUAGUGGCAGACGGGUGAGUAACACGUGGGAACGUACCUUUCGGUUCGGAAUAAUCCAGGGAAACUUGGACUAAUACCGGAUACGCCCUUCGGGGGAAAGAUUCAUCGCCGAUAGAUCGGCCCGCGUCUGAUUAGCUAGUUGGUGAGGUAAUGGCUCACCAAGGCGACGAUCAGUAGCUGGCCUGAGAGGAUGAUCAGCCACAUUGGGACUGAGACACGGCCCAAACUCCUACGGGAGGCAGCAGUGGGGAAUAUUGGACAAUGGGCGCAAGCCUGAUCCAGCCAUGCCGCGUGAGUGAUGAAGGCCUUAGGGUUGUAAAGCUCUUUUGUCCGGGAAGAUAAUGACUGUACCGGAAGAAUAAGCCCCGGCUAACUUCGUGCCAGCCGCCGCGGUAAUAC
rnacentral:rRNA from 1 species